AACGUAGGAGACAAACGUUAUCCGGAGUUACUGGGCGUAAAGCGCACGCAGGUGGCUGAGUCAGUCGAUUGUGAAAGCCCGGGCUUAACCUGGGAAUGGCAUUUGGGACUGCAAGGCUGGAGUACGGCAGAGGGAGGUGGAAUUCAGGUGUAGCAGUGAAAUGCGUAGAUAUCUGGAGGAACACCGAUGGCGAAGGCAGCCUCCUGGGCUAGUACUGACGCUCAUGCACGAAAGCGUGGGUAGCAAACAGG
rnacentral:rRNA from 1 species